AGAGUUUGAUUAUGGCUCAGGAUGAACGCUAGCGAUAGGCCUAACACAUGCAAGUCGAGGGGCAGCACAUGAAGUAGCAAUACGGAUGGUGGCGACCGGCGCACGGGUGAGUAACGCGUAUGCAACCUGCCUACAACAGGGGAAUAACCCGUUGAAAGACGGACUAAUACCCCAUAACACAGGGAUCCCGCAUGGGAAUAUUUGUUAAAGAUUUAUCGGUUGUAGAUGGGCAUGCGUUCCAUUAGCUGGUUGGUGAGGUAACGGCUCACCAAGGCAACGAUGGAUAGGGGAACUGAGAGGUUUAUCCCCCACACUGGUACUGAGACACGGACCAGACUCCUACGGGAGGCAGCAGUGAGGAAUAUUGGUCAAUGGACGCAAGUCUGAACCAGCCACGUCGCGUGAAGGAAGACGGCCCUACGGGUUGUAAACUUCUUUUGUAAGGGAAUAAAGUGCAGUACGUGUACUGUUUUGCAUGUACCUUACGAAUAAGGAUCGGCUAACUCCGUGCCAGCAGCCGCGGUAAUACGGAGGAUCCGAGCGUUAUCCGGAUUUAUUGGGUUUAAAGGGUGCGCAGGCGGGAGAUUAAGUCGGCGGUGAAAUUUUGCAGCUCAACUGUAAAAGUGCCUUCGAAACUGGUUUCCUUGAGUGUGGAUGAAGUAGGCGGAAUUUGUGGUGUAGCGGUGAAAUGCAUAGAUAUCACGAGGAACUCCGAUUGCGCAGGCAGCUUACUAAACCAUAACUGACGCUCAGGCACGAAGGCGUGGGGAUCAAACAGGAUUAGAUACCCUGGUAGUC
rnacentral:rRNA from 1 species